rnacentral:rRNA from 1 species
AUUGAACGCUGGCGGCAGGCCUAACACAUGCAAGUCGAGCGGAUGAAGGGAGCUUGCUCCUGGAUUCAGCGGCGGACGGGUGAGUAAUGCCUAGGAAUCUGCCUGGUAGUGGGGGAUAACGUCCGGAAACGGGCGCUAAUACCGCAUACGUCCUGAGGGAGAAAGUGGGGGAUCUUCGGACCUCACGCUAUCAGAUGAGCCUAGGUCGGAUUAGCUAGUUGGUGGGGUAAAGGCCUACCAAGGCGACGAUCCGUAACUGGUCUGAGAGGAUGAUCAGUCACACUGGAACUGAGACACGGUCCAGACUCCUACGGGAGGCAGCGGUGGGGAAUACUGGACAAUGGGCGAAGUCCUGAUCCAGCCAUGCCGCGUGUGUGAAGAAGGUCUUCGGAUGGUAAAGCACUUUAAGUUGGGAGGAAGGGCAGUAAGUUAAUACCUUGCUGUUUUGACGGUACCAACAGAAUAAGCACCGGCUAACUUCGUG